UGGAGACAGGAUCCUCACCCUGGGCCAGACAGUCUGUAUUUGCACCCAAACUCUGGUGUUUGCUAUGGUUUUGUGCCUACUCAGAUGGACUCACUCCAUCUGAGGCACAUUGUGUGUGAUGUGACAGAGAUGGAGUCUGGCAGACAGCAACCCUGCUGAGCACCUCACAGCCUGCCCCUUCUUUCCUCCCAGAUCCUGUGUAUGGUACCUUCAUUCUGCUGAUCUCUGUCUGUCUUUGUGAGCCAAGGCUGUAUUUUAAUGAGCAAAGUUUUGAAUAGAGUCUUAAUACCUGUUACGGUAGAUGGUGUCCACACUGGAGGUGCCACUGAGCCCGGUGGCCCACAGGACUGGCCUCGAGUGGCUGUCUGCAUCUGCGCCCACUCCAGUGCUGCACUUGGCUGGCCACACACAUCCUUGUGUCUUAGCUGUGUCCUGGCGACCGACAGUUGAGGUGCCUUGGUGG
rnacentral:lncRNA from 1 species